rnacentral:rRNA from 1 species
GCAACUCGACUGCACGAAGCUGGAAUCGCUAGUAAUCGCGGAUCAGCACGCCGCGGUGAAUACGUUCCCGGGCCUUGUACACACCGCCCGUCACACCAUGGAAGUCUGCAAUGCCCGAAGCCGGUGGCCUAACCACUUAUGUGGAAGGAGCCGUCUAAGGCAGGGCAGAUGACUGGGGUGAAGUCGUAACAAGGUACC